GUUUGGUUCGGGGUUAAGGAAAAAGUAGCUAUUCCAGGGAUAGGGUUAAGUUCAGAGUUAAAGUGUGGUUAAAGUUUUUUUGUAUUUGGUUGGGGGUUGGAGUUAGUCUAGAAUAAUGAAAAAUAGUGUUUGGUUGGAGUAGGUGGGAUAAGAAGAUAAUGAUUGAUAAAGAAGGAUAAUGAUUGGUUGGAGUAGGUGUGAUAAGAAAAAUAGUGGGUUAUUAUGAAUAUAAAAUAGUGUUUGGUUGGAGUUUGGUGGGGUUAGGUGGGGUUAGCUAACCCGGGAUAAUUUAUUUGAGGUGGGGUUAGCUAACCCCACCCAUUUUUUGGGGUGUUUGGGGAUAAAAUGGGGGUUAAGGGGUUAUUCCACCCCUUAACCCCCAACCAAACAAGG
rnacentral:lncRNA from 1 species